GUCGAGCGGACAGAUGGGAGCUUGCUCCCUGAUGUUAGCGGCGGACGGGUGAGUAACACGUGGGUAACCUGCCUGUAAGACUGGGAUAACUCCGGGAAACCGGGGCUAAUACCGGAUGGUUGUCUGAACCGCAUGGUUCAGACAUAAAAGGUGGCUUCGGCUACCACUUACAGAUGGACCCGCGGCGCAUUAGCUAGUUGGUGAGGUAACGGCUCACCAAGGCGACGAUGCGUAGCCGACCUGAGAGGGUGAUCGGCCACACUGGGACUGAGACACGGCCCAGACUCCUACGGGAGGCAGCAGUAGGGAAUCUUCCGCAAUGGACGAAAGUCUGACGGAGCAACGCCGCGUGAGUGAUGAAGGUUUUCGGAUCGUAAAGCUCUGUUGUUAGGGAAGAACAAGUGCCGUUCAAAUAGGGCGGCACCUUGACGGUACCUAACCAGAAAGCCACGGCUAACUACGUGCCAGCAGCCGCGGUAAUACGUAGGUGGCAAGCGUUGUCCGGAAUUAUUGGGCGUAAAGGGCUCGCAGGCGGUUUCUUAAGUCUGAUGUGAAAGCCCCCGGCUCAACCGGGGAGGGUCAUUGGAAACUGGGGAACUUGAGUGCAGAAGAGGAGAGUGGAAUUCCACGUGUAGCGGUGAAAUGCGUAGAGAUGUGGAGGAACACCAGUGGCGAAGGCGACUCUCUGGUCUGUAACUGACGCUGAGGAGCGAAAGCGUGGGGAGCGAACAGGAUUAGAUACCCUGGUAGUCCACGCCGUAAACGAUGAGUGCUAAGUGUUAGGGGGUUUCCGCCCCUUAGUGCUGCAGCUAACGCAUUAAGCACUCCGCCUGGGGAGUACGGUCGCAAGACUGAAACUCAAAGGAAUUGACGGGGGCCCGCACAAGCGGUGGAGCAUGUGGUUUAAUUCGAAGCAACGCGAAGAACCUUACCAGGUCUUGACAUCCUCUGACAAUCCUAGAGAUAGGACGUCCCCUUCGGGGGCAGAGUGACAGGUGGUGCAUGGUUGUCGUCAGCUCGUGUCGUGAGAUGUUGGGUUAAGUCCCGCAACGAGCGCAACCCUUGAUCUUAGUUGCCAGCAUUCAGUUGGGCACUCUAAGGUGACUGCCGGUGACAAACCGGAGGAA
rnacentral:rRNA from 2 species